CCCUGCCCUCUCACUGAAGGUGCUCGUGCAGUUCUUGGAAGAAGGCUUCACAGCCUGAAGAGGCAAGGGCCUGUCUGGGGCCUGUCCACUUGUUCAGCGCUGCAGUCCUGGGGCCUGGACACAGUGGGGCCUCCAUGAACACCGCUGAGGAAGAAAGGGGCACCCCCCAGCACUGAGACACCUUUCUGACGGCCACUUGUGGCUGUCCCUCUGCAGCUUUCUCCACCUUGCAUACCCUGCCCAGCGUCACCCUGUAGGUAGCUUUGUAGCCAUAAACCCACAUGCAGGACCAGGGACACUUCUGUCAAACUUGACAGGCUCCAAUGAGGACGAGCAUCCAGCUGGACGGAUAGCAUAUGUGAACCAGGCUCCUGUGAGAUAAGCACUGAGGGAGGCCUCUCCCUUUUCCCCGCCUCAUGGGGGAAGCAGAGUCCUGCUGAAAAUGCCCACCACUUCUCCUCUCCCUGAGGGGGGAUGGCUGUACCAGGGGCUAGUAUGAGAAUCAUAAACAGUGCUCAUCCUCGAGGGGACCUCUGAUGGCUGUCCAAAGUGUUCCCCACCCCUAAUGGGUGGAAGAGGAUGUGUUCUCCAGUGCUCAGGCUGGUGUCAGUUGGCACCACCCACGCCUGGACACAGACCCAGUUCUGUCCCUGGGCUGCCCCAGUGCUGCCCUGGCCACAGGCCUCAGGGUCACCGCUGGCAGGCUUUGCUGCCUGCUGGUCACCAACCCAGGGCCCCGGGUGCUGAGGAUGGCAUCCUGGGCCCUGUGUGUCAGACAGCCUCCCGCAGUGCCACACGGGUAGCAACUGUUUCCAUGGCAUUCAGGCUGUGAGCCCCAGGCUCACACAGCAUGGUGGGGGGGGGGGACGGUUCUUGGGGCCAUUUCUCUUGGGACUGCAAGGGGCCUCAGUCUCCUUCUGCUCCCUUCUCAGCACUGAAGCACUGGGCACAGAGUCCAGAGAUCAGGUUUCAAGGCUCAGCUGUAAAGGACAUUUGUAUUGUAUUUCAUUUGUAUCAUUUAAAAUUUUUUGUUACAAUUAGCAUCAUUGCACAGACCUCACCUGUUGAGUCCUUAAUGUCAGCCUCUGUCACCUGUGGGACCUAUGGGCUGUUAGCCUGACUGGGGUGGGCUUUGUACAAACAGGGCCUCACCCCGGGGCCCCAGGACUUGAGCCUGGGGUUCACGCAUGGGGGCGGGAUUCAGGCCGUGGGAUGGAGCUGUGUGACCCACAUCUGUUUGUAUUAUUAGCUCAGGAGCUGGCAGGCCGCGGCGGCGGUAACACAAUUCGAGGAACUGUUGACUCCGCUCUGGCCCCUCCCCAUGCCUGCUGUCGUGAGAGCCAGAGAAGACAGCGUGAGGACUGCACGUCCCUCCAGGGCACUGCUAAUGUCAGCGUUGGCGGGGGCCUCCCCAGGGGCCUUGGGUGACCCCGGGUCAGCUGCCUGGCCUCUGGCAUCCUCCCGUACCCGUUUGUGCAGUCCCAGCUUCUGCGGUCCUGGCGACCCCUCCUCCUCCUGCCCUCCCUCCUCUCCUCGCCCCUCUCUGACUUCAGCAGGGAAGGUGAUGGGUGGAGUGGGGGUAACCCUAACUGUUCGGUAAGCUGGGAGGAAUGACUGCCCCAGACCCCCAGGAUGAGGACGAAAGUUUUCCCUCUUUCCUGCCUUCCUCAUACAUUCCUACCUCCUCUUUCUGUCAUUGGUGCCUGCAGGUGCCAGCAUCCCGGGGAUAAGCUAGGGAAAGCCUGGGCCUUGGCCAGGUGCCCAGACUGUGGCUCCAGGGAAGGACCUGGCUUCCUGGCUACGUGCCCAGCUCUGCACCCCAGGUAGGGGGAUCUUGAGACAAUUUCCCAAGAUCCGUGUCCCAUGGGAUUCUCAGGCCUCUCCUGCAGGCUGUCGGGGGCACAUGAGAUGAGGUCAUGGAAGUCCUUCACAAGCCCAGAAGUGCCCCACAAGGUUAGCUGUGGCGUAGGUUUUGGUCCUGUAACUUCCCUGAGACAGGACCAGGGGCCUGUGGGCCCAAUGAACUCUGUAACAAAGGCUGAAACAGACCUCAGUGUCAGCAGGAACCAGGAGUUAGAGGAUUUAGUAGACGGUGCCAAGUGCUGGGCUUGGGGUCUAAUUCUGGGCUACCUAGAGAGGGAAACAAGGACACCUUUGCCAUCGAGGCACAAAUAAUAAAAGUGUUAGAAAUGGCAGGCACCCCAAAGGAGAGUCUCAUACUGUGUCCCCCUGAGCCCUUGGGCCCCCGGGGGUGCGAGGGUGAAGGUGAGAGGGGGCCAGCAGCCCUGCUCGUGUUUCAGUCACCCACUGAAAAACAAACGUUUAGUCCAGUUGGACCUUUGAUUGGAGAAGAGGUUCUACUACAAAAAUAAAUAUUGAAAAACCAGAGACCUCAUCUAACCCCACAGUUUCACCAGUGAGGAAACUGAGGCCCAGAAAAGAGAAGUGGUUAGCCUCAGGCUGCCCAGCCCAGUUGUGUCAGAGCUGCUGCCUAGGCCACUCACUCCUGGUCUGUGGAAAAGAGCCAAGACCCCGAGGAUGACGAGGACAAUGGCAAAGCGGGGUCCCCCCAUCAAGGUCUGGGCUUCAGCCACAGCUCCUUUAAUAUGACCCCUGAGGUGAGGCCUCAGGUCCAGGAGCCGUGUUGACCAGAUGCUGAUCUGGGCUGGAGAGGAGGGCAAAGGCCCACUUCCCCGACCAGCUGAGAGCUCUGCGGGCUGUCAGCCCCAGCAAGGCCUCUCCAACUAACCAACUACCCCAGCCCCAACUUUCCAGCCUGCCACCCACUGCCCCAGGCAUUCUCUCAGAGUCCUUACUGCAAGUAGCUGGGGCAGGCAGACAGGUGCCCCUCUCCCCGAUUUUACAGUUGACGGAGGCGCCUAGCGGUAAGUGGGCCCGGAACCUGAGCCUCCCCAGUGCCAAACCUGUGCUCUUGUCAUUACUUCCUGCUCUUCCCAGUGUCUUUCCCCAGCACCCCUCCUCCCCCAACACUGGCUCUGCUCACCCUUGCCCUCAGCCCUGUGCUGACUGGCCCAACCUUCCCCUCGUUGGCUUUAGCAAGGAGAGGCACCCUGACCAAGGUGCUGCCCAGGUCUCUCAGCCUGUGCAGAGCUCCCAGCCUUUCGCACAGCCCAGGCCCAGUCCCUCCCCUUGGAGGUGGACUUCUGUUCACCAUCCCCUGACUGCAGAGAGGGCUCAGGCCAGGAACUUGGUCCUCCAGCCAUGACUGGGUGAGACUAGGCCAGGACAUCCAAACAAGCUCCCAACACCUGCCCUUUCCCCAGGAUACAGACCAUACUCAGUGCCAGGGCAACCAACAGUCUCGGCUUACCCAGAAUUCUCCUGCUUGGCACUGAAAGUCCCAGGAAAUUCCUCAGACCCGGGCAAGCUGGGACAACUGGGCACCCUACUCAGCACACACACACCCAGGGUCUUCGUGCCUUCCCCGUCCCCUACUGAGUGGGGUCUUUCUUCAUUCUAUACCCCUGGUCUCCACUGAGGCUAAUGAGUGGGACCAUGGUCAGUCCACUCAAACUGUCUGGCCCCCUCAGACUGGGCUAGGGCCUAGCACAGACCCAGAGUCUGCUAAGGUGAGCAGAGGGUCCACAACCUGCUGGAGGUGUCCUGCCCCAGGCCCUGUGAGAUGAAUAGCAGAGGGAGCCCACGAAAAGCCUGGUGGGAUCCUGGGCCUUGAUCCCAACCCAGCUUUAUCCUCAGGCUGGGGGGCAGGCCACUCUGGGGUGACCCCAGGUGGGGCAGUCCUAGAGCUAGAGCCAGGCAGGGCCUGCCUGGGGCUCACUGAGGCAGCCUCUACCUGUCUAGGCUUGAGGUGAGUCAUUUCCUCCCCCAGCUGGUAUGAGGCUGGGAGGGGGAGGGAGGGGAUGUUAUCUAAAAAUAGCAGGGCCCAGCCUUAGACAUACCCAAAGAGCUUCUCCUGGGGCUGGGGGGAGGAGCUGACACCAGCUGUGGCCCCAGCCAGAUGCCUGCACUGGGCCGAGGAGGAAGAUGGCCCUGAGACCCCCGCCCCCCACCCCUUCCCAGGCUCAGCUAGGGCGCUGAGGUGUGGAGGAAGCAUCUGAAAGGCUGAGACACAAGGAGUGUCGGGAUGGCAUAGGAGCUUGAGGAGAAGAGAGGCCUCAAGCAGACAGGGCCUGGGAAGGGCCGGGGGCUCUGUGACUCGGCAGGCUUGGCCCUGGCUGGGGCUGGCAGAGACAGCAGCGACUGGAUCACCAGCCUGGGUUUCCCUCCACAUCAUCCCCACAGGACCACGUUCAUGCCACACCCCCACCCACACAACAGAGACGCACUCGGAGACAGAGACGCACUCGGAGCCACACAGACACAGCUGGCCCAUUGUUGCUUUGCGGCAGCCUUUUGGGAGGCCAGGAUGACCCUCUGGGCCGCCAUCUGGAACUCCCCAGAAAGAGCCUGUGACAAUGGCAGCACUGUGCCCCGAAGGAUAGAGGCAGCCCCGUUACCAUGGUUCCCCCGAGCCAACAGAUCUCCAGUGGCCUCCCAGUGGCAGCCGGAGCUUGGGACUCUCUCAGAGUCAAAAGGAGAAGCCAUAACCUCUGAGCAUGAACCAGGCCAGGAUCUGCCCUCCAGCAGUUUCACCUGUUUCCAUCAAGGGGCAGGAAGGCCAGGCAGUUGUUAAACCCGUUUCACCAGCGAGGACAUGAGAAGUGGACAGGUGAUGUGCCUCACUCAAGGUCACAUGGCCGGGAAGGUGUGAACAUAAGGUGAGGCCAGCAGCCGGACGUGGGAAAGGAAAACCAGUGGCCAGAUUCCAGCGAGGAUACACAGCGCUCGUCAUCACCGCCAUCAGAGCUCCCAGUGACUGAGCACUUCCUGGUUGCCUGUGCUCUCGCCCAACCCCCUGAGCCUAUGGGAAAAGGCCUUUAAGCCUUCCACUGGGCUGCCCCAGCAGCAUUGGCCACCUCCAGCAGUGAAAGCAGGGUGAGGCUGACCAGGACACCUUAACUGAGGAACCAGGAGAGCUCAGUGGAUUGAGUGAAAGGCCCAGGAGUCUUCUCACCGGACCAUGAGCUUCCUGAGGAGCCUCAGUUUUGUCAUCUGAAGGAGGUUUUGUCAUGAGGAACAUGAGAUGCUAUUAUGUGACAGUGCCAAGCAAGUCGAAGAUGCUUCAGGAUGAAUGGGAAGGGGAAAUUUGGACACAGACACAUGCAUAGAGUGAUGAUGAUGUAAAGAGACAUUGGGAGAAGAUGGUCAUCUACAAGCCAAGGAGAGAGGCCUGGAACAGAUCCCUUCCUGCACAGCCUCCAGCAGGAACCAACCACGGUGGCAUCUUGAUCUUGGACUUCUAGACCUCAGAACUGCAUAUCUCAGAGAUAUUGUGGGCUCGGUUCCAGACAACUGCAAUAAGGCAAGUCACACUAAUUUUUUGGUUUCCCCUUGCAUAGAAAAGUUAUGUUUAUACCAUACUGUAGUCUAUUAAGUGUGCAAUAGCAUUAUGUCUAAAAAAACAAUGUAUGUACCUUAAUUAAAAAAUACUUUAUUGCUAAAAAAUGCUAACCAUCAUUGAGCCUUCAGUGAAUUGUAAUCUUUCUGUUGAUGGGGGGUUUGAAAUAUUGUGAGAAUUACCAAAAUGUGACACAGAGACACGAAGUGCUGUUGAAAAAAUGGCGCCAACAGACUUGUUCAAAGCAAGGUUGCCACAAAUCUUCAAUUUGUAAAAAAAAAAAAAAAAACACAGUUUCUGCGAAGCCCAACAAAACACGCUUUACCUGUAUUCGAUUAAACUACCGUAAGAAAAAUGGUCAGGUUCAUGUGUGUUAGAUUACUUGCAUAAUAGUAUCACCUAUAAACAUGGUAGAUGAUGCUUCCAAACUAGCAUCCUUAUUAACUCACAUUUAAGGGUACUCUUUUCAAUUUAACAUUCUUCAUUUGACCAGGAUAGUUCAAGGACUACCAUCUCUAAGUUUUCAUAGUCUGUCCUUAAAUGUAAGCAGCUUUAAAAUGUAGGGGAAACUUUAAA